AGAGUCGGAGGGAGGUUUAACCACGAAUCGGUCCCGAUCGGAUUAUUCCUUAAAGGGGACGCGCCAUUGUCAAAGAGAACGGAGCCUGGGGCCCGAGGGCGGGGACCGGCGGCGCUGGAGGAACGAGGCAGCUGCACGGGACUGGGGACCUGCCUUCGACAUUCCGCACUCUGCUAUACACAUGGACUGACCUUGCUGCUUUUCCCAGCGUGCCCCUCUUCAGUGCCUGCUCCAGGUUGAAGAAGCUUCUAGAUGGAUCCUUUCCAAAUUUGGUGUCUUUUCUACAAACUCUGUGCCUCAACCUCAAUUUCUAAGUGAGACGAAGCCAUUUAUUUGAAUCUGGGCAAUUACCCUCUAAAUGCUUAAUUCUUCAAACUGCUCAAGUGUCACGCGUGCUUAGCUGCUCCAUGUCACCACCAAGAACUUAGCCGGGAGUGGCACUACGCUUCAGCACCAGUCAGCAAAGUGAAUAAGUUCUGUGCUGCCGCCGCUUCCACCUUCCACUCCACUCCGGGAAGAAAGAGCGCCAUCAUGUCAAGCAUCACGAUUGACCCGGAUGUCAAGCCCGGUGAAUAUGUCAUCAAGAGUCUCUUUGCAGAAUUUGCUGUUCAAGCUG
rnacentral:lncRNA from 1 species